rnacentral:lncRNA from 1 species
CUCACGGGCAGCGCUUUGGCGCAUGAUGCACUGCAGCCGUCUCAGCUGUGCCUGAGCAUGCCAUCCAGUCCAGCAGGAUUCUACCCAUCUCUGGAGGUAAUGCAACCACACAUGGUCCACCAUGGGGGUUCUGUUGCUGUUGCAGAAAAAACACUUAAAGCACGUUUUGGUACUCAAGUUAACAAGGACUUCUACACUUUCAUACAGUGUGUUUGAGGAGGGAAAGGACCGUUAAGGAAGAAUAUCAGGCCAGGGGGAUGAACCAGCAGCUGUUGAGCGAGGAAUGCACUGGCGCUUUCUCAGGACGAAAGAGUGAUAGUGCAUGAAUCCAACGCCUGCUGCUCUUUGAGCUAGUGCCUGGACCAAUAAA